rnacentral:rRNA from 1 species
CAUAUCUUAGUGCUCAAUUCACCAAUCCACACUACUGUUUGAAAUUACUAUCAAGUCCUCCUUCAAAGAGAAAUUGCAACCUCCUAUCCGUAAUUCUAAAAUAAAAAUUGUAGCCCACCUACCCUUCUAUAUAAGCCGCAUCUUGACCUGAUGUAACAAUUACGAAUUUCCCUGUUCUUCUCACCUUUCUUAAAAAAAAACAAAUCGACGGCGAUAUACGAGCUGAUCAAACAAAAAGAAGUUAAUAUACACGAGGACUAUCAAUUAUGUGGCAGGCUCCCCUGAAAAGCCCUAAAAUACCGCCAAGUUUUUUAAGUUA